GCACAAAGUCUGUGUGGUCUGACUGUGAGGGUGGCUGGGCUCCAGCAGGGGCGGACACCACUGGGCUCAGCUAGCAGUCAGCCCCUCGCGGGGCCCUGCGGCUUUCUCCCGAGGAGCUCCUUGCCUGGGUGCCUGCUGGCCUCCCGGGAGGAAGCCCCCUCCCUCCCUCUCCCCCCCGCCCCCCCAUCCCUUUGUCUGAUCAGCUUCAGAAUUCUGCUCCUAGCACAGCGGAUGUCCCAGCCGGCUUCUCAUCACUAAGUGACGUUUAUAUGAAACGGAAUCUAACGAUGAGGAACAUAGUGUCUUCACAAGAUGCAAGUACUUGUGCGUACUUGGUCAGGAGUUGGUGAGAAUGAUGCCAAAGUUUGAUCCUGAGAAGCGGGAACGAGAGGUGUCUACACGGAGGAAGGCAUGGAGAGGAACAGAGUUGAGGCUGAAAAUCAUGACUUUGGAAAUGGUUGAGUUGGAGGCAUCUGCCAGACACCAAAGUGGAGAUAUUGGGUUGGCAGCUGCAUAUAAAACUAUGAAAUUGUGUUUGACAGUCAUUACUUUUACAAAAUCUAAAUCUUAAUGCCUUUUUCCUUUGAAUUGUUUUGUGAAAUUAAUAACUGCCAUCACUGUUUCGUUUUAUGUCGUUGAUAAUAAAUGGCAACUUUAUCCAUUUUAAGUGUA